rnacentral:rRNA from 1 species
GGACUACUGGGGUUUCUAAUCCUGUUUGCUCCCCACGCUUUCGUGUCUCAGCGUCAGUACUCGUCCAGUUGGCCGCCUUCGCCACCGGUGUUCCUCUCGAUAUCUACGAAUUUCACCUCUACACCGAGAAUUCCACCAACCUCUCCGGUACUCUAGCCUCGCAGUUUCGAGUGCACUUCCAGGGUUGAGCCCUGGGCUUUCACACCCGACUUAUGAGACCGCCUACACACGCUUUACGCCCAGUAAUUCCGAACAACGUUUGCACCCUCUGUCUUACCGCGGCGGCUGGCAC